AAGACAGGCUCCUGGCUCUAGCACCUAUCUGCAAAGAACCUCACACUGAAGUGCAGCCCACUGUGCCACUGCGUGAAAUUACACUAAAAAGCCCAAUUUUUUCCCUCCUCGAGCGCGUUCAUGAGCACGCGUUCACGUUUGGCAGCUCCACGUCGACAUUCUUCCAGCUGCAUAUAGUGAACUGCACAGGACUGGGGGAAGAAAAGACUAUUUGCCCCUCGUGUUGGAUUGCAGCUGGUGCCUUGCGUCUACCUAUAUCAGGUUAAAGGAGCACCCAGUCGUGAGGUGGAUAAGGCUCUGCACAAGGACAAACCUAUGAGGUGGCACUGUGGCUUUCCAAAUAAAGUUCUGUGAUACACUCAGACUCUAAUUGUUUGCAGUCAGUGCAUUACAGAACUUUGUUUUGGGAGUUAAUACUUUGACCAUGUGGGAAAUAAAUCCUCAAGCAUCUGGAUAUUUUAGUUUAUUGCACGGUGCAAUAUUUCUGUUGACUAAUGACUGUUUACUCAA